rnacentral:rRNA from 1 species
AUUGAACGCUGGCGGCAGGCCUAACACAUGCAAGUCGAGCGGAGCGGCGGACGGGUGAGUAAUGCCUAGGAAUCUGCCUGGUAGUGGGGGACACCGCCCGGAAACGGGCCCCAAUACCGCAUACUUUCAGAUGACCUUAGGGGGGAUUAGCUAGUUGGUGGGGUAAAGGCUUACCAAGGUGACGAUCCGUAACUGGCCUGAGAGGAUGAUCAGUCACACUGGAACUGAGACACGGUCCAGACGCCUAGGGGAGGAAGCAGUGGGGAAUAUUGGGCAAUGGGCGAAAGCCUGAUCGAGCCAUGCCGCGUGUGUGAAGAAGGUUUUCGGAUUGUAAAGCUCUUUAAGUUGGGAGGCGUUACCAACAGAAUAAGCACCGGCUAACUACGUGCCAGCAGCCGCGGUAAUUC